rnacentral:rRNA from 1 species
UGAGGAAUAUUGGUCAAUGGGCGAGAGCCUGAACCAGCCAAGUAGCGUGCAGGAUGACGGCCCUAUGGGUUGUAAACUGCUUUUAUGUGGGGAUAAAGUGCGUGACGUGUCAUGCAUUGCAGGUACCACAUGAAUAAGGACCGGCUAAUUCCGUGCCAGCAGCCGCGGUAAUACGGAAGGUCCGGGCGUUAUCCGGAUUUAUUGGGUUUAAAGGGAGCGUAGGCUGUCUAUUAAGCGUGUUGUGAAAUUUACCGGCUCAACCGGUGGCUUGCAGCGCGAACUGGUCGACUUGAGUAUGCAGGAAGUAGGCGGAAUUCCUGGUGUAGCGGUGAAAUGCUUAGAUAUCAUGACGAACUCCGAUUGCGCAGGCAGCUUACUGUAGCAUAACUGACGCUGAUGUACGAAAGCGUGGGUAGCAAACAGG